UGCGAAUUCAUUAUUCUGCGUUCAUAUGUCCAAUCUUUUUUCGACCAGUGUCUGAAAUGGAAAAAAUGUAUUUCUAACCAAAACUACUGCUCCUUUUAGAUAUAUUUUCCAGGAAGUUACUUGCCGGUAGUUUUUGCCCGCACUUAUGGAAGUUACCUGCCGACGGCAAUGAAACUCGGCUCCGGUAGAUGUUAACGGACAGAACAUUAUGGAUAUACUCUCAAAAGUUUUGGACCUACCCCAUCUAGGAUCAGCAGAACGUCGGGAGUGUAAGAGUUGAUUUGGCUAAAUAGAAGCAGCGUUAGCGAACGUCCAACAAAAAUGGCGCGCAGAAAUCUCUGACAACUAGUUUCUUUGAAAAUAUUUUCUAUAUUUGAUAUUAUUUUCUACUGGACACAAAGUAAAACCCACAACAGUAUUCUACCGUCAACUAGUAACGCCGACAUAUGUUUCGACCUUGAAACUCCAAGCAAAGAAAAUUGCUGUUACGGACCUGUGCAUUAUUUAUUAUUUUUCAAGAACAAAUAAAUAACAAUA